CGUUUGUGUUUGUAAUUUAUACGUGGUUCUCGUUUCUUGUUUUUUUAUUUAAUAUAGAUUAGACCAUUGGUUUUCCCGUUUGAAUGGUUUUACACUAGUAAUUUUGGGGCCCUUUAUAGCUUGUUGUUUCGGUGUGAGCCAAGGCUCUGUGUUGAAGGCCUAUUGACCUAUAAUGGUUUACUUUUUUUGAAUUGUUAUUUGGAUGGAGAGUUGUCUCAUUGGCACUCACACCACAUCUUCCUAUAUCUAUGAACUCAGAG
rnacentral:lncRNA from 1 species